rnacentral:misc_RNA from 1 species
AGCAAUUGUACUAUUUCCCAUGCUCGUCGCUACUGCUCAUUUGAAAAUCAUAGAUCACAUACCACGGUGCGGCUAAACAGACGAAGACGAACACAGAGCACAAAAAGGGCAAACUGAGAAAUCAAAAAAAUGUAUGCAAAAAACUCGCACACAAACGCAGAGGAACACUCGCACACAAAUGCAUUGAGUGAUUUUGAUUACGAGGAAAGAAUAGGCGGCACACUAAUACAAGCGUCGAACACUAUGAAAUUGCAGUAACAACGUGAAUGGGAAUGGAACACAACAAUAGCAGCGGGAGCAGCAAGAGCAAAUAAACUUCCAAAAAAAAGAGAUGUGGAAUGAACAACGUGAAGAACUAAAUUGUAAAUCGAAAUUCCAAGAAGUGCGGUCUGAGAUUUGGUCGGAGGUUUGUUUUUUAAACGUCUGACGUCGACGGCGGCAUUAAAAAAGUGUGCAAAAAAGCGUUUGAGAUACUUUUACGCGCGCGCGCGAAAGCUAACGAGUGCGAGGGGUGUACCGGGCUAUGAUUGUGUGUACGUGUCACACAUACAUAUGUAUGUACGUGUGAGUGUGUGGGUCUUUAGUGUGCACGGCGUUUAGGACUUUUGCAUACAAAAGAGGCGGAGAGGAGACGUGCAAUUAGUGUGCAAUAAAACGGACAUAGAAGAAUUUGAUGGAUAGGAUAUCUAUUGGAACUCAGGAACGAAUUUUUGCCUAUUUUGUUCCAGGUAUCACAUGUGCUUGACUAGAGGAAUGUGCUUCCAGUUGAGCUGCAAAGACAAGCGAAGAAUAUGGGAGACGCCUGGAAGGGAAAUACGAGAAAUGACAGUGUAUGCCUCAGAGACCAUAACAUGCUGAACCACCCUAGGAAACCCCCAAUCAAAAAUUUCGUUAAAAAAAUGUAUGUAAAUCUUAAACAGGGUAUUCUCAAGUCAAUCACUGCGACCUGAUUCUCGAGUGUAAUUUUUCUUGUAUAUUUCUGGUAUAAAAUUUCGUUAAAAAAAUGUAUGUAAAUCUUAAACAGGGUAUUCUCAAGUCAAUCACUGCGACCUGAUUCUCGAGUGUAAUUUUUCUGGUAUAUUCUGUGCAUUUUAGA